rnacentral:rRNA from 1 species
AACGCUAGCUACAGGCUUAACACAUGCAAGUCGAGGGGCAGCAUGAAGUCAGCUUGCUGACUUUGAUGGCGACCGGCGCACGGGUGAGUAACGCGUAUCCAACCUUCCCCUUACUCAGGAAUAGCCCGUUGAAAGACGGAUUAAUGCCUGAUGUUCUCAUAUUGCCGCAUGGCGUUGUGAGCAAAGAUUCAUCGGUAAGGGAUGGGGAUGCGUAUGAUUAGCUUGUUGGCGGGGUAACGGCCCACCAAGGCAACGAUCAUUAGGGGUUCUGAGAGGAAGGUCCCCCACACUGGAACUGAGACACGGUCCAGACUCCUACGGGAGGCAGCAGUGAGGAAUAUUGGUCAAUGGAGGCAACUCUGAACCAGCCAAGUAGCGUGCAGGACGACGGCCCUAUGGGUUGUAAACUGCUUUUAUGCGGGGAUAAAUGAUCCUACGUGUAGGAUUUUGCAGGUACCGCAUGAAUAAGGACCGGCUAAUUCCGUGCCAGCAGCCGCGGUAAUACGGAAGGUCCAGGCGUUAUCCGGAUUUAUUGGGUUUAAAGGGAGCGUAGGCGGCCUGUUAAGCGUGUUGUGAAAUGUAGAGGCUCAACCUCUGCACUGCAGCGCGAACUGGCGGGCUUGAGUUGGCUGAAAGUAUGCGGAAUUCGUGGUGUAGCGGUGAAAUGCUUAGAUAUCACGAAGAACUCCGAUU